UCUUCUUCCAUAUAGCUCUGUAGCUUGCUGACCAUGCCUUAUACAGCCCUGUAGGGUGGAAGUAGUACCUAUAGCCCAUUACUGUCCCUUGUUUCAGCUACAGACUCAGAAGUAAAUGAUCAAUAGUAGGAGAUAACAAGUGCGGACUUUCCAACUCUGCCUUUUGAGAAACAUCUCUUGAAGGAACCACUGAACUUCCUUCUAAAAGUCAUACACAACACUUUUUCAACAAUGAUGAGAAGGAGGUUCUCCCCUCAAAAGUCAAACAACAAAAAAAGUCGUCUUUGAAUCCAACUCUGGAGGUAACAAUGCUUAAGCAGUUGAGGACACCACAGUCUCAACUCGAACCUGUUCCUAUUCAUGUUAAUGGACAGCCACUUACAGAUCUGUGUGAUGUAUGGCCAAGACCCCAAGACCUGAGAGUUCAUCUUUGUGUUGUCAACUGGGAUUCCAGAUCUGUCUCCUCAACCCUUAUGCAACAGGGGUGUUGGACUCUGCCAGAUUUCAUGCAGCAGCUAUUACUUUGCUUGUUUCUGAAAAACUACAAACAAACAAAAAUGUUAAGAGAAAACAGUCUAUCUGUUUGGAAGCUAUA